UACGUAGGGGGCUAGCGUUAUCCGGAAUUACUGGGCGUAAAGGGUGCGUAGGCGGUCUUUCAAGCCAGAAGUGAAAGGCUACGGCUCAACCGUAGUAAGCUUUUGGAACUGUAGGACUUGAGUGCAGGAGAGGAGAGUGGAAUUCCUAGUGUAGCGGUGAAAUGCGUAGAUAUUAGGAGGAACACCAGUAGCGAAGGCGGCUCUCUGGGCUGUAACUGACGCUGAGGCACGAAAGCGUGGGGAGCAAACAGG
rnacentral:rRNA from 1 species